UGGGGAAUAUUGCACAAUGGGGGGAACCCUGAUGCAGCAACGCCGCGUGAGUGAAGGAGCGUUUCGGCGCGUAAAGCUCUGUCAGCGGGGAAGAGACAAGACAGUACCCGACCAAGAAGCCCCGGCUAACUACGUGCCAGCAGCCGCGGUAAUACGUAGGGGGCAAGCGUUAUCCGGAAUUACUGGGUGUAAAGGGAGCGUAGACGGCAGAGCAAGUCCGGAGUGGAAGCCCGCGGCCCAACCGCGGAAGGUCUCUGGAAACUGUUUUGCUGGAGUGUGGGAGGGGUAAGCGGAAUUCCUGGUGUAGCGGUGAAAUGCGUAGAUAUCAGGAGGAACACCGGUGGCGAAGGCGGCUUACUGGACCACAACUGACGUUGAGGCUCGAAAGCGUGGGGAGCGAACAGG
rnacentral:rRNA from 1 species